UUAGUUAACAUGCAUAGUAAACUUUGACCUUUCAGAAGAUACUCUAAGUAAGCCAAUGGCAAGGUCUUUUGAGAUUAAGUACAUACUAGCAUGAGUUGAUUUUAUAUGCCAAAGAUGGUUUCUUUAAUCUUGGUAUUCAUAGUGCAUAUAUUCAAAGGUAUACCAAGUACACAUUUUCAUAUCUAUGAUUGAUAAACAAUAAU
rnacentral:lncRNA from 1 species